AUUGAACGCUGGCGGCAGGCCUAACACAUGCCAGUCGAGCGGAUGAAGGGAGCUUGCUCCUGGAUUCAGCGGCGGACGGGUGAGUAAUGCCUAGGAAUCUGCCUGGUAGUGGGGGAUAACGUCCGGAAACGGGCGCUAAUACCGCAUACGUCCUGAGGGAGAAAGUGGGGGAUCUUCGGACCUCACGCUAUCAGAUGAGCCUAGGUCGGAUUAGCUAGUUGGUGGGGUAAAGACCUACCAAGGCGACGAUCCGUAACUGGUCUGAGAGGAUGAUCAGUCACACUGGAACUGAGACACGGUCCAGACUCCUACGGGAGGCAGCAGUGGGGAAUAUUGGACAAUGGGCGAAAGCCUGAUCCAGCCAUGCCGCGUGUGUGAAGAAGGUCUUCGGAUUGUAAAGCACUUUAAGUUGGGAGGAAGGGCAGUAAGUUAAUACCUUGCUGUUUUGACGUUACCAACAGAAUAAGCACCGGCUAACUUCGUG
rnacentral:rRNA from 1 species